rnacentral:rRNA from 1 species
AUUGAACGCUGGCGGCAGGCCUAACACAUGCAAGUCGAGCGAGCGGCGGACGGGUGAGUAAUGUCUGGGAAACUGCCUGAUGGCGGGGGAUAACUACUGGAAACGGUAGCUAAUACCGCAUACCAUCAGAUGUGCCCAGAUGGGAGUAGCUAGUAGGGGGGGUAACGGCGAACCUAGGCGACGAUCCCUAGCUGGUCUGAGAGGGUGACCAGCCACACUGGAACUGAGACACGUCCCAGACUCCUACGGGAGGCAGCAGUUGGGAAUAUUGGACAAUGGGCGAAAGCCUGAUGCAGCAAUGCCGCGUGUGUGAAGAAGGUUUUCGGGUUGUAAAGCUCUUUCAUCGGGGAGGCGUUACCCGAAGAAGAAGCACCGGCUAACUCCGUGCCAGCAGCCGCGGUAAUUC